UCCGAGUUGACCCCGGCAGUCUCCUAUGAGUUCCCGGCAUUACCCGCUGGCAACACGCCACGGGGGUUGCGCUCGUUGCGGGACUUAACCCAACAUCUCACGACACGAGCUGACGACAGCCAUGCACCACCUGUGCACUGGCCCCGAAGGGCUGUCGUAUUUCUACGACAUUCCAGUGCAUGUCAAGCCCUGGUAAGGUUCUUCGCGUUGCGUCGAAUUAAAGAACAUGCUCCGCUGCUUGUGCGGGCCCCCGUCAAUUCUUUUGAGUUUUAGCCUUGCGGCCGUACUCCCCAGGCGGAACACUUAACGCGUUGGCUGCGGCACAGAGGGAUUCGACUCCCCCCACACCUAGUGUUCAUCGUUUACGGCUAGGACUAC
rnacentral:misc_RNA from 1 species